UGAAUGCCGGAACCUUGCUUGCAGGAAUUUGGAUUUCUUGACCAGUUUGUGGGUUACGACCCUUGUGGGCAGCACGUUCACGAACUUCGAAGUUACCAAAGCCGAUCAGUUGAACCUUUUCACCCUUAGCCAAGGAAGCUUGGAUGGA
rnacentral:sRNA from 1 species